rnacentral:rRNA from 1 species
UGGGGAAUAUUCCGCAAUGGACGAAAGUCUGACGGAGCAACGCCGCGUGAGUGAUGAAGGUUUUCGGACUGUAAAGCUCUGUUGUUUAGGACGAAAGUGCCUGUUGCGAAUAGUUACAGGUAUUGACGUUGCUGAACGAGGAAGCCACGGCUAACUACGUGCCAGCAGCCGCGGUAAUACGUAGGUGGCAAGCGUUGUCCGGAAUUAUUGGGCGUAAAGAGCAUGUAGGCGGGAAUCUAAGUCUGUUGUGAAAAUGCGGGGCUCAACCCCGUAUGGCGAUGGAACCUGGGUGUCUUGAGUGGAGGAGAGGAAAGGGGAAUUCCCGGUGUGGCGGUGAGAUGCGUAGAUAUUGGGAGGAACACCAGUGGCGAAGGCGCCUUUCUGGACUGUGUCUGACGCUGAGAUGCGAAAGCCAGGGUAGCGAA